UGCCCGGUGGUGAAAUGGGUAUUCACACCGGCCUUUGGAGCCGAGGUUCCUGGUUCGAAUCCAGGCCGGGCAA
rnacentral:tRNA from 1 species